UCGAUCGUCUUGUGCGACGACCCGCAGCAGUUCCGACGACGGGGGAAGUCCGGUGUGAAUCCGGCGCUGACCCGCAGCGGUGGUCCGUCCCUCCCGACGGCGAGCCCGAAUGCCCGUCGCCGGAGUGUUCGUCUC
rnacentral:ncRNA from 2 species